GAUGGCGCUUAGACGAGUUUUUUAUGUUGCGAAGGUUGUUCUGGCGAAGAUCUGGCUGUGGUUUGCUUGCGGAGAGGCGGCGGAGUUAUAAUUAAAAGUAAAGAGUUCAGUUGUCAGCUGUGGACCUGUUGGCUUUGAAGAAUGUGAGAUUGAAGAAUGUGUUACAUCACUUUGCAGCAAUUGUGGACAGAGCUAAGAUGGCAGUUACUACAAGUACUGAAGGGAAAUGUGGACGAGAGGGAUUAAAAAUGCAGGUGAGAAUAGAAUGGACAAACAGAUGUCAUGUUGGUCAGAAUGAGGUUGACCGAUGCAAAGCAAAACAAGAACCAUAAGAUGUAAAAUAUGGACGAGGAGGGAUGAUGAUUCACAAGACUGCUUUGAAGAUACAGGAGAGAAUGGAAUGGACAAAUAGAUGAUAUGCUGGCCAGAAUGACACUGACAGAUGAAAAGCGUAAACAAGAACAAUAAGAUGGUGGGUAUGUAUAGUUGCAAAUUAACAGAGUAUUUUCUAACUUCUAAAUAUUUCAGGGAAAGGUGGAUGAAAGAGAUUAAUGAAGCAGGAGAAAAUAGAAUGGACAAACAGAUGACAUGCUGGUCAGAAUGAGACUGACAGAUGAAAAGCCUAUACAAGAACAAUCAGAUGGUGGGUAUAAAAAGUUGCAAAUUAUGGGAGUAUUUUCUAACUUCAAAAUAUUUCUGGGUCAUGUGAAGGAGAGAGAUCAACAAUGCAGGUGAGAAUGGAAUGGACAAAAGGACGACAUGCUGGUCAAAUAAAAUAAAGUUGACUGAACAAACCAUGAGAUGGUAGGUAUAUAUAAUUGCAAAUUUAGGGAGUAUUAUCUAACUUCUUAAUAUAUUGUAUAUCAGGGAUUCUAAAUUCUUAAUAUUUCAGAGAAAUUUGGACGAGUAGGGAUGAUGAUUUGCAUGAUUCCUUUGACAAUACAGGAGAGAAUCGAAUGGACAAACAGAUGACAGUCUGGUCAGAAUGAAGUUUACAGAUGAAAAUGUGAACAAGAACCAUGAGAAGGUGGGUUUAUGUAUUUGCAAUUUAAGUGAAUAUUUUCUAACUUCUAAAUAUUUCAGGGAAAUGUGGACGAGAGAGAUUAACAAAGCAGGAGAGAAUGGAAUUGACAAAUAGAUGACAUGCUGGUCAGAAUGAGGUUGACAGAUGAAAAGCAUAAACAAGAACCAUGAGGGAAAUGAGGACGAGUAGGGUUAUUGAUGUCAUGAUUCCAUUUACAGUACAGGAGAGAAUGGAAUGGAAUGGACAAGCAAAUUACAUGCUGGUCAGAAUGAAGCUGGCAGAUGAAAAUGUGAACAAGAACCAUGAGAUGGUGGGGAAAUGUAGACGAGUAGGGACAAUGAUAUGCAUGAUUCCUUCGACAGUACAGAAGAGAAUGGAAUGGAUAAACAGGUGACAUGCUGGUCAGAAUAAAUCUGGCAGAUGAAAACAGUCAACAAGAACAAUGAGAUGGUGGGAUUCCUUUGACAGUACAGGAGAGAAUUGAAUGGACAAACAGAUGACAGUCUGGUCAGAAUGAAGCUGGCAGAUGAAAAUGUGAACAAGAACCAUGAGAUGGUGGGUAUGUAUAAUUGCAAAUUUAGGGAGUAUU